UACGAAGGGGGCUAGCGUUGUUCGGAAUUACUGGGCGUAAAGCGCACGUAGGCGGAUCUUUUAAGUCAGGGGUGAAAUCCUGGAGCUCAACUCCAGAACUGCCUUCGAUACUGGGAGUCUCGAGUUCGGGAGAGGUGAGUGGAACUGCGAGUGUAGAGGUGAAAUUCGUAGAUAUUCGACAAGACACCAGUGGCGAAGGCGGCUCACUGGCCGAUACUGACGCUGAGGCACGAAAGCGUGGGGAGCAAACAGGG
rnacentral:rRNA from 1 species